rnacentral:rRNA from 1 species
GACGAACGCUGGCGGCGUGCUUAACACAUGCAAGUCGAACGGAAAGGCCCUGCUUUUGUGGGGUGCUCGAGUGGCGAACGGGUGAGUAACACGUGAGUAACCUGCCCUUGACUGUGGGAUAACUUCAGGAAACUGGGGCUAAUACCGGAUAGGAGCUCCUGCUGCAGGGUGGGGGUUGGAAAGUUUCGGCGGUUGGGGAGGGACUCGCGGCUUAUCAGCUUGUUGGUGGGGUAGUGGCUUACCAAGGCUUUGACGGGUAGCCUGCCUGAGAGGGUGACCGGACCCACUGGGACUGAGCUGCGACACAGACUCCUCCGGGAGGCAACAGUGGGGAAUAUUGCACAAUGGGCGGAAGCAUGAUGCAGCCACGCCGCGUGCGGGAUGACGGCAUUCGGGUUGUAAAGCGAUUUCCCCUGUGACGAAGCGUGAGUGAUGGUACUGGGUAAAGAAGCACCGGCUAACUCCGUG